rnacentral:sRNA from 1 species
GCUGGGCACAGUGGUGCAUGCCUGUAAUCCCAGUAGCUCAGGAGGCUGAGGCAGGAUGAUCGCCAGCCUCAGCAAUUUUGGGAGGCCCUAGGCAACUUAGCAAGACCCUGUCUCUA